UCCUACGGGGGGCAGCAGUUAGGAAUCUUCCACAAUGGGCGCAAGCCUGAUGGAGCGACACUGCAUGAAGGAUGAAGGCUCUAGGGUCGUAAACUUCUGAACUAGGGACGAUAAUGACGGUACCUAGGUAAUAGCACCGGCUAACUCUGUGCCAGCAGCCGCGGUAAUACAGAGGGUGCGAGCGUUAUCCGGAAUCACUGGGCGUAAAGGGCACGUAGGCGGUUUGUUAAGUCCGAUGUUAAAGCGUGAGGCUCAACCUCAUCACGGCGUUGGAUACUGGCAAACUUGACUUCUGGAGAGGAAAGUAGAAUUACCAGUGUAGCGGUGAAAUGCGUAGAUACUGGUAGGAAUACCCAUUGCGAAGGCAGCUUUCUGGACAGAUAGUGACGCUGAGGUGCGAAAGUGUGGGGAGCAAACCGGAUUAGAUACCCGGGUAGUCCACACCUUAAACGAUGCAUACUUGGUGUCAGCCCGUUGGGGUUGGCGCCGGAGCUAACGCGUUAAGUAUGCCGCCUGGGAAGUACGGCCGCAAGGUUGAAACUCAAAUGAAUUGACGG
rnacentral:rRNA from 1 species